rnacentral:lncRNA from 1 species
GGCAGACUGGCGCUUCAGUUCACAGCACGGUCUCUUGCUGCUUCUAAUGAGGCUUCGUUAACAGGGUUGGCUGUGUGACUGACAGAACACAGAAGUGAUGCAUGCUGCACGAGGGAGCCACCUUGGGAGCAACACCUCCAGCCCCAGUCAAGCCUUGGGAUGACGGCAGCCCCAGCAGACAGCUUGAUGGAAACCUCAGGAAGACCCUGAUCCAGAACCACCCAGCUGAGCCCGGCCUUCCAGUCAUCUCCACAAGGCCCUAGACGUGUGAAGCAGGAAGCUAUCUGGACCCUCCGGACCAGCCCCGCCACCAGAUAAACACUGCUGAGUUAAUGCACAUGGAGCAGAAGAAUUGCCUGAGACUUGCACAGAUUCUUGACUUUGUGACAACUGUG